rnacentral:rRNA from 1 species
UACGUAGGGGGCAAGCGUUAUCCGGAAUCACUGGGCGUAAAGGGUGCGUAGGCGGGUUAUCAAGUCUCGAGUGAAAUCCAACGGCUUAACCGUAGUAAGCCUUUGAAACUGCUGAGCUUGAGUGCAGGAGAGGCAAGUGGAAUUCCUAGUGUAGCGGUGAAAUGCGUAGAUAUUAGGAGGAACACCAGUGGCGAAGGCGACUUGCUGGACUGUAACUGACGCUGAGGCACGAAAGCGUGGGGAGCAAACA